rnacentral:misc_RNA from 1 species
UUGUGGAGGAGGACGCCGGAGGUGGGGCUAAUGACUGGGGUGAAGUCGUAACAAGGUAGCCGUACCGGAAGGUGCGGCUGGAUCACCUCCUAACAGGGAGACAACAAAAUGUUUAAUAUUAUUAUUUUGUCACCUUAGGUCGAUCGGUACCUCAUGUUCUUAAUUUAUUAAGAAUUUCAUUUCCUAAGUUUUUCUAGGUCACACCCAUUAUUUUCCUGGGCCAUUAGCUCAGGUGGUUAGAGCGCACCCCUGAUAAGGGUGAGGUCCCUGGUUCAAGUCCAGGAUGGCCCAUAUCUCUAUGUUGGGGGUAUAGCUCAGUUGGUAGAGCGCCUGCUUUGCAAGCAGGAUGUCAGCGGUUCGAGUCCGCUUACCUCCACUGAUUACCACCUCUUCCAUAAUCUGUAGAUAAGGAAAAUUUUUGAGUUGUGAUCAAAAUUCUGAACGAAUCUAGCUUCCUGAUGAAACCAUUAAGAUGCUGGACUCAUUGAAUUAAUUUCAUUGUUUUCAGAGAACCUUGACAACUGCAUAGAUUAUUUUUAAAGACAAUAAGCAUCUUUAAUGAUGCAGAUUUAUUAUUUGUGCAAAAGCAUUAAUAACAAUUCUAUUAAGCUGAUGCUUCAAUUUAUGAAGUUAUUGGUCAAGCUACAA